UACAGAGGGGGCAAGCGUUAUUCGGAAUUAUUGGGCGUAAAGGGCGCGUAGGCGGCUUGGCAAGUGGAUGGUGAAAUCCCUCGGCUUAACCGAGGAACGGCCGUCAAAACUGCUUCGCUUGAGACCGGGAGAGGUGAGUGGAAUUCCCAGUGUAGCGGUGAAAUGCGUAGAUAUUGGGAGGAACACCAGUGGCGAAGGCGGCUCACUGGACCGGUACUGACGCUGAAGCGCGAAAGCGUGGGGAGCAAACGGG
rnacentral:rRNA from 1 species